CAUUCCUGCCCCCCCCGGCCAGCUCCCUCUGUUGCCACUGGACUGAGGAGGAACAUCUGCUGAUUCCCUUCCAGCAAUCCCACACCAUGACCUUCUCGGGCACCGCCACGCCCUGCAUUACUGUAAAAUUACACACUGGAUACUCCACCACCUCACACUGCUAGACCACAGCGGUCAGCCUCAGAGACUCGACACGCCCACAGUUCGCCUUCGGAACAAAAAAAGAAACAGGGCAAAAAAACAUCACAGAACACAACCAUUCUUCUAAGCCCAGCCAGAAAUAAAGUAAUAAGCAGCAAAUGUAUUCUUGAAAGCGGCUGUGGUUAAAGAAAACAGGAAAUGUGUUUUCGUAUAUAAGAUCAAUGAAAAUUAAUAAUCUUGUCAAGUGUCUCAUGAGACCAAAAUUUAAAAUAGGCAAGCCUUUUUCCACAUAACUCUCCACUGUGACAAACUGAGUUUGCUCCUGGACAGAUCUGGCUCAGUUGUCUUCAGUGCUUUUUUUCCCUCAUACUUGCUGUGUUUAUUCCCUUAAUCUCGACAGAUACACAUCCCAAAGUGAUGCAGAUAAGCAGGAAAAUCAGUUAUAUUUCCCUAAGAAACCUCUCCGACAUUGCGUGUGUUUGGAUAAACAAGUCUCAGGCUGGCAAGAUUCUGCAGAGGCUCGUAAGCACGGCGUCCUACAUUGGCAAUGCUAAAUCCAGACUCCCAGAAACAGAUGGGGGCUUCAGCCUUCCUACACUGUAUAUGUGUUCACAGCUGACUGUUAUUCUGAGUGCUCGCUGUCUGCACCUAAUGAAGCAAGCAAAGAGCCCCCUCACCAGAUAAAGAACCUCGGCAGUCUGAAGACUCUCCGCCCAGCUUGACCGCCCCUCUAUUCCCAGCAGGAUUAACUGAUUCUUCAAGGACGGGAACAGAAACAGGCGGAAAUGUUUUCGCGUUCUUCACAUCCUCACGGAUGCACCAUCUUGGGGCACAACUGCACUCAGGGGAGGGUCCCACACAUAGCUCAGGCUAGCCGAGGAUGCUCUCCUCGGUUUCCCCUGAAUAGCAGUGAGGCAAGGCGCGGAGAUCUCCGAACAGUGAGGACAUCGGCAUCAGAAGAGCCCACUGACUCCCUCCGUACACGCAUCAGAUUCAAAAUCAACAGGGAAGAAAAAGAGCGUCAGCCGACGUCUUCAUUUCAGCAUAUGCCAACGAUGAGAGUCACCGUUUUCCUCCCCAGUUUCUCUUCCCAAUUACCUGAACAUCUAACAAACCACACACUCGAGGAAACGAGAAUAAUAAGUGUAACGCAAGACGUCCUCUCAGUUAAGAGUGGGCCAAGGACCCUAGACCGGCCGGAGAACCAGGCGGCCCCUGAGGAGGACCUAAGGAGUGUUGCGUCCCUACUCAACGAGCUGGGUCACAACCUUGCCCAGGACAGGGAAAACGAACGCCGAUGGACUGCACAGGAUGCAGACAUGACAUCCGUGACAUGAAUGUCCGAGGACAUCGACACAACAGGCUAUAAGACAGAACUCAAAACUGCAGUUCCAGACGGAUAUUUCAAUAUUUGCAGGAUGCCAAAUUGUAUCUUUUAAAUGUGCAGCAAAAAAUAAAACCCAAGGAACUAACUAGAAAAA